UACAGAGGGGGCAAGCGUUAUUCGGAAUUAUUGGGCGUAAAGGGCGCGUAGGCGGCUAUCCAAGUGGCGGGUGAAAUCCCUCGGCUUAACCGAGGAACUGCCUGCCAGACUGGAUGGCUCGAGACCGGGAGAGGUGAGUGGAAUUCCCAGUGUAGCGGUGAAAUGCGUAGAUAUUGGGAGGAACACCGGUGGCGAAGGCGGCAUCCUGGACCGGUAUUGACGCUGAGGCGCGAAAGCCAGGGGAGCAAACGGG
rnacentral:rRNA from 1 species